GACGAACGCUGGCGGCGUGCCUAAUACAUGCAAGUUGAGCGCUGAAGGUUGGUACUUGUACCAACUGGAUGAGCAGCGAACGGGUGAGUAACGCGUGGGGAAUCUGCCUUUGAGCGGGGGACAACAUUUGGAAACGAAUGCUAAUACCGCAUAAAAACUUUAAACACAAGUUUUAAGUUUGAAAGAUGCAAUUGCAUCACUCAAAGAUGAUCCCGCGUUGUAUUAGCUAGUUGGUGAGGUAAAGGCUCACCAAGGCGAUGAUACAUAGCCGACCUGAGAGGGUGAUCGGCCACAGUGGGACUGAGACACGGCCCAAACUCCUACGGGAGGCAGCAGUAGGGAAUCUUCGGCAAUGGACGAAAGUCUGACCGAGCAACGCCGCGUGAGUGAAGAAGGUUGUCGGAUCGUAAAACUCUGUUGGUGGAGAAGAACGUUGGUGAGAGUGGAAAGCUCAUCAAGUGACGGUAACUACCCAGAAAGGGACGGCUAACUACGUG
rnacentral:rRNA from 1 species